GACGAACGCUGGCGGCGUGCUUAACACAUGCAAGUCGAACGAAGUGGCGAACGGGUGAGUAACGCGUAAUCAACCUGCCCUUCAGAGGGGGACAACAGUUGGAAACGACUGCUAAUACCGCAUACUGAAGGUGGGGAUUGCGGCGGCUUAGCUGGUUGGCGGGGUAACGGCCCACCAAGGCGAUGAUCAGUAGGCGGGCUGGGAGGAAGAACGGCCAAAAUGGGACUGGGAAACGGCCCAGAAUGCUACGGGAGGCAGCAGUGGGGAAUCUUCCGCAAUGGAGGAAAGUCUGACGGAGCAACGCCGCGUGAGUGAUGACGGGCUUCGGGUUGGAAAGCUCUGUUAAUCGGGACGCGGUACCGGAAUAGAAAGCCACGGCUAACUACGUGCCAGCAGCCGCGGUAAUUC
rnacentral:rRNA from 1 species